rnacentral:RNase_P_RNA from 1 species
UGUAAAAACAUGAUGAUCGCUGAACAUGUCCUUAAAAGUAUGUGUUCAGAGGAAAGUCCGAACACGCCCAAGUAAUAUUGGAGCCAGGUAGCGGGUAAUACCCGUCGCACUAGUAAUAGUGUAGAGGUGCGAGCAGUGACGCCGGGAGUGAAAACAAACGGAUUCCUUUAGGAAUAAUCAUCAUGGCAACAUGAUGGGUGAAACGGCAAAAUCCUUACUUGCGUGCAAGGCCGUGCUAGCUAAGGAUCUAACCUUUUAGGUGAAGUUAUUAGCUAGAGAGCCGCAUGAGUUAAGUGGCAACAUUUAGCCUAGGUAUAUGAUCAUCCAGGAGUAAUCCUGACAGAAUUCGGCUUAUAUGUAUACAAAAA